rnacentral:rRNA from 1 species
UACGAAGGGGGCUAGCGUUGUUCGGAAUCACUGGGCGUAAAGGGCGCGUAGGCGGCUUUGUAAGUCGGGGGGUGAAAGCCUGUGGCUCAACCACAGAAUUGCCUUCGAUACUGCAUGGCUUGAGACCGGAAGAGGUAAGUGGAACUGCGAGUGUAGAGGUGAAAUUCGUAGAUAUUCGCAAGAACACCAGUGGCGAAGGCGGCUUACUGGUCCGGUUCUGACGCUGAGGCGGCGAAAAGCGUGGGGGAGCAAACAGG